rnacentral:rRNA from 1 species
GGACUACCCGGGUAUCUAAUCCUGUUUGCUCCCCACGCUCUCGCGCCUCAGCGUCAGUGUCGGUCCAGGUAGCCGCCUUCGCCACCGAUGUUCCUUCCGAUAUCUACGCAUUUCACUGCUACACCGGAAAUUCCACUACCCUCUACCGCACUCCAGAUCAACAGUCUCAAUGGCCAUUCCUAGGUUAAGCCCAGGGAUUUCACCAUUCUCUUAUCAACCCGCCUACGCGCCCUUUACGCCCAGUCAUUCCGAUUAACGCUCGCACCCUCUGUAUUACCGCGGCGGCUGGCAC